GAAAUCUUGAUCGCGGAAAUUGAAGAGGAUGGGGAGACCUUCCUUUUGGUGGCGUUGCUGACGCAAACAAAAGCCGGAGUGUGGCCACGAGGGGGGUUUGAGCGGUCGAUGGUGGGAGGGGAGUGAGAGUGACAUUCAGUCGAUGGUGGUAAGAAGAUUUUUUUUUUUCGUUUAUACUUUUUUUUAUUUCAUAAAUUUAUUAAUUUAAUUUAAAUUUCAUGGCAUUAAUAACGUAAAAUAGAAUAAUUUCUAAUCUAAUUGCCACGUGGGUUAAUCAAACAAGUUAGCAAGGACUUAACGGGCUCAUAAGUACCUUAACGGAGAUGACAAUUAAAAAUAUCCAAUUGAUUGUUAAAUUUUAAUUAAAAAUUUAAUUGAUUGGACUUUUUAAUUAAAGCUCAAUUCAUUUUUAAACUAUUUUCAAGAGAUUUUUUUUAAUAUUUUAGUUCUUUUUCUAAAAAUAUUUUCAUUUUUUUGUUAAAUAAUAUGUUUUAAUUAAAUAUUUAAAAUAUUUUUUUUUCAAAUUUAAGUUUAAGUUUUUAUAUUUUAAUUUCGAAACAUUUUUUAUUUAAAUAUUUUAAUUUUUCAAUCUAAUUUUAUUAUUAGUGGCUGUAAUAAAAUAAUCUUUUUAACUCUCGUCGAGAGUGUUCUCUGAAGGAUAAAUAAUUUACUAAAAAUGUAUUUUAAUCUAAUAAAUUCUCGACCAUAUAAUUAAUGGACGAAAUAAGCGACCACGAUGCUCAACCUUAUGAUUUGAGUUUUACACUUAGAAACCAAAUUCACAUGCUUACACCACGAAUUCAGGUUACCCCUCCCCUCUCAUCAAGAAUCCAUUUAAAGCUAAUCACUUAUAUUUAUUUAAAGAUCAGAAUAUUCAUUUUGAAGAUUUAAUAAAAAUAUUAAGUUUAAACUAAAAAUUCAUUUUAAAAUGAAUCAUAACUUGAUUUGAUCUAGUUUCAUUUUUAAGUUUAUAAUAAGAUUUUUUUUCUUUAAUCUAUAUUAUAUAAUUUAUAUAUAAUAUAAAAAUAAAUAUGCUAUGAUUAUUGAAAAAAAUCAUAAUGUAAAUAUUAAAAUACGUGUUUGGUUGUUUACUUCUAAAAUUUUAAUAUAAUACAUUAAAAAAAAUUGUUUAUAAAAAAUAACUAAAUAUUAACAAAAAUAAUAUAAAUGUUUAAAAGAAUUAAUUUAAAUAAUAUGAAUAAGCUCAAACAUAUUUAAAGUAGACAUUUACAAAUAUAAAUGAGUUUAAGCAAAAUCUAAAAUUUAUAUUUUAAACCGAAUUUAAAUAACUAUAAAUAUUACUGAUAUAAUACAUGAACUCGACUUAAACUUGACAUGUUCCGACACUUACUCGAUUUGUCUUUGUCAUAUGUGAGGUGCAGUUAUUAAAUUUAUAAAUAGAGAGAGAGGGAGAGAACAAAUGUAACAAAUUAAAAUGGACCAAGAACCGCGUUGCAAAUUACAGAAAGAACAAAAAAGCUGGCCAAUGUUGUUAUUGUUCUAUCAUGGCUAAUUUAUGUCUACUAACAAUUAACAUUCUGCUUGACAAAACAUUUACAAGGUGAUUGGUGCAAUUUACAACUUCAACCUUGAGGAGCAAAAAAGGCCAGUAAAAUAACGCAAUCCAAUUAUGAACAACCCCAUCCAUCGGAUAUUUACAGGCUAAACUAUUGAACCCCAAAUUAAGAUUCUAAAAGUUUAGAUAUAUCUUACACCUGAUUAGGCGUCAUCAGACUUUGGGCCUCUUUCACAGUUGAACUAACAGCAUAGAGCACCAUCUUUUUUACCUGUAGAUGAGAAAAUCCAAUGAAAUCUGUCACAUAAUUACUCACUUUCGUCUAAUAGAAUCUCUAAAGGCAAUUCAUUAUCUACGUUUUUAAUUUUGAUAGAUCACCAUAAUGCCUGCAGUACGAUAUAAUCAUCUUCUUCUUAAACUUCUGGACAAUUCAGUAGAUGAUAUUUUGUAUGCAUGUCAAAAUUCAAUGAUGAGUGCAAGAAGAGAUGAUUAAGAAGAUUGGAGAAUUUUCUUUUUCUUUUUUCAUUUUAAUUCUGAAAAUGAAUUUACCUGUCAACAUGAAACUAACUUCCUUUACUAACUAACCCAAGUAUUAACAUGUCUAGUUGAUUCUCUACACUCUCCCUCAACUUAGAAGUAAAAUAACCAUGCUGCUGCAUUUCAAGAUUUCUUGUGAUGAUUUCUACAAGUUGCCCUUUUAUGGAUAUAUGUUGGGUUUGAAUAAGAUUUUCCCGAGUUUUCUCCCUCUAUCUGUUCUGUUCUUUUAUGAUAUAUUGGAUUGGCAAUAGAAGUGUUUAACAUAUUUUAUUCUUACUUACGUUUAACUUAACUCAAAAUGUAAACCUAAAAUCUUACUUAAACCUGUCUAUAUUUGUAAAUGGUAAAUUCAAGCCCAUUUUAAGCCUAAUAAUAUUAAUUUUUAAUUUUUUGAAAAAUAUUUAUAUUAUUUUUAAUUUAAUAUUUAAUAAUUUUAAAUAUUUCUCAUUUAUUAUUCUUUUAUGCAAGGGUAAAGGAUGAGACAAUACGAUUUGAACCCAUGUCAAAUACUUAUUUGACAAGAGUUUUAACCAUCACCCCAUAGAAGUCAAGAUUUGUUACUAAAGAUUUAAUUUCUAUCUAUAGGAAAAUGAAGUUCUUUUGCCCAACUCAUUUUUCGAGUCUAAGGAUUUUUCUAAAUACUUUCAAAUUUCGAGUAGACCUUUGGGUUUGGAUGAGUAGCCUUACCCAUGUCUAAUUGGUAGCAAUUUCAAGGGCUGCUUGGUUGUCAUAGACAGCUUGAUGGGUCUUUUGUCUUCAAAUCCAAUUUCCAUUACGAGUCCUAAUAACUAAACAAGUUUUGCAAUAGUGAGUGCCAUCCUCCUGUAUUUAGCUUUGAUUGAGGACCUUGAAAUAGUAUUUUGCUUCAACUUCUAGGAUAUAAAAGAGUUUCCUAGCUUUCUGUAGAAAUCUAUCAUUGACUUUCUAGUCAUAAGACAAGAAGCAAAAUUAGAAAUGCAAUAUGCAACUAAUUUUGGAGAACCAAAGGCAAUAAAAAGAAUGCCUUGUCCUGGAUCCUUCUUGAUAUACCUUAACAAUUGGAUGAAACUUCGUAAUGCGACUUUUUUUACUUCUACAUGAAAUGGCUUAAAUUGUCAACUGCAUAUGUGAUGUUGCAUCUCGUGUGUUUUAAAAACAAGAGCCUUCCUAUGAGCUGUUGAUAAAGAGUUUCAUCUUCAAAGACUUCAUGAAUAUCUAUCUGCAAAUGCUAAUAAUCAUUUUUGGUGGAAAUUUUUUAUUUUCCAACAGAAUGCCGGCUGUUUUGGCUCCCUCUAGCCUUGUGUCUAAAAUAAGUUCUGAGACAUAUUUUCUCUAAUUCAAAACAAUUCCAACUUUUGACCUUACUGGUUCAAGGGUCCUUUAUUUUGAAAUGCUGGUGUAUUAUGAACUUCAAAUAUGAUAUUAAAACAACAUCAUUUGUAUGGUCAAGAUCAUCCACAUAUAAAAACAAAACAACAAUUUUACGUUCUUGUCUUUUAGUGAACAUUGAGUAGACAUGCUUCCUCUGAGUAACCAUCACCAAAGAGAGCUUUUGUAAGUUCUAAAUUCCAUUGGUGAGAAGCUUGCUUCAAGCCAUAAAGGAGCUUGAGAAACUCACAUACUCAAUCCUCCCCAUGAUUGUGAAAUCUUGAUGGAAGGUCCAUGUAUACCUUUUGUACACAUCCAUUUGAUACAUAGGCCAAUUGAACAUUGAUACUGUAACAAUAACAAGCUUCUCAGUAACUUGUUUUGCAACCUGAAAAAGGUGACGCACUAAUCAAUUCCUUCCUUCUAGCCAUAUCCCUUUGCCACUAAACAUGGUUGAACCUUUCAACCUAUCCAUUGGCACUUUAUAUACUCAUUUGCAACCAAUAGGAACUAUCCCAUACAGUAUGGGAAUUAUUUUUCAUGUGUCCUGUCUCCUAACACUUCUUAUUUUUACUUAUUUUUUUAUUAUUUUGGCCCUAAUUCUUUUCUAGGAUCACUUUGACCCUUAACCUUUAAAUUUAGUAAAAUUAUUUUUUUAUAGAAAAGUUAAUUGAAUUGUUACAAUUUAAACAACACAACCGUAACAAUCAGCAUGACAAUCCACAUUUCCUUCAUUGUUGACGUGCACAAGUUUUUAAAAUUUUUUAUGAACUUUUUCUUAAAUCUUUUAAAUCUUUAAAAUAAAUUUUAUGUAUUUGUUUUAAUUUUUAUUGUUGAUGAUAGUAAUCUUACGUUAAAGUAUCAUAUUGACUAGCAAAAACUUAGGGAUCGGACUAGCAUAGAAUUAGGAAGUGUAAUCUUUGAUAUUUCCUUCUUUGUAUAUAUAACUACUAGUAUAAAGAGGAUAUGUAUUACGGUGUACAUUUAUAUAGAAAUGGAUUUAGAAUAUUUCCCUUUUCUCUAUUUUUCCUCUAUUUUCCUCACGGCUGAAACAACCAUAAUAGAAAUAGAACAACAACCUUAUUUCUUCUCUAUUCUCUUCUUUCUCUCUCAAUUUCACAUGGUAUUCUGCUAAACCACUCUCAUCGCCCCUCCCAUUAAAAUAUGUAGCCUUUGUCGACCCUCCGGUCGAAAUAUCAUUGCCAGAAUCGGCAUGUGUAGCCCACACACGCACCACAAAGGUUUCUACUCAUUUCCUACGCGCUGGUAUUUGAAAGUGCAUGCACCACCCUCCGGCCAUCGUUCUCCUCCAUGAGUCUUCAUGAAGGUUUGUGCUGUCCGUCCCCCUCCAGUGGUGCUGCCCCCGUAUAGUUUCAACCUUAACUUCUAUUUUAAUUAAUUUUCUUUCACCCUUGCUAUGGAUCCUUCAAGUUCUACCAAACUUUUCUUCUCUGCUUUCUAUAAUUAUUCUACUAUUACUACUAUCAAACUAUAAUGCAAUAAUAAUUAUGUUUCUUAGGUUGCUUCUGUCGAAUUGUGAUUUAUGGGGAAAGGCUAUAGAGAACGUCUUAAAAAAGAUGUUAAUGCCGUUGAUGAAAAGAGUAGAGAUUAUUAGGUUAAACUUGAUCCCAAUUAUGUAGCCUGCUAUGACAUUCGCUUGAGCCAAAGUUACUUACAUUGCUAUAGUCUUGCAAAACUUCUUACAGAGUUUGGCUAAGGCCAAGAACCUAUAUACUAAUGAUAUUCAGUGGAUCAACAAUGUUAUUUCAGAUCUUGUCCAUCUACAGUAAAGUCAAUAAGAUAUAUGACUAGUUAUUUGGGUCAAGUUGAAUUGUUGAAGGAUGAGUUUAAUGUUGUUAUGAUUCUUAUCAAGAAAUUUGGGUAUCAGGAGAAGUAAAGGGAUAAAUUCUUUAUGGUUCUGGCUCUGAUUGGAUUGCGUACAUAUUUAGCUUCGAUGAAAAUCAUAUUAAUACUAGCUCAACCAUUCCUAUUCCUGAUUAGAUAACUGCUUGACUACUUCGCAUCUCCUUAACUUAAGCUCAAUGAGAGGUAUAAUCAUCUAUGCUAACCAUUUAGGAUACAAGCCCACAAGGCGAUGGUAAAAAAGGAAGAAGGAGAGAGCUUAGCCUCAUAGCACCUACUAUGAUCAAAGUGGGCACAUAUGUGAAAUUUGUUGGGCUUUACAUGGGAGAUUCUCUUGCAAUAAUCCACCCAUUGCACAUUUAACCCAAGUUUAAGGAGAUAGGACUAUUCCGCUUCUAAUUUCUCAUACAUAAAGAUGAGUCAAAUCUAUCACCUUAUCUAAAUCAGAUUAUGAUGAAUAUUUAUAAUAUCAAGCCUUGAAACAACAAUUCGAUAAUUUUGUUGCUGGUGUAACUCAUUUUUCCUCAAAUGGACCUUAGAUAUUUAACUUAGAUGUUUUCGACCAUAUUUCUAGUAAUAAAAAUAAUUUUAUACUCUCACCUCUCCUUCUUCCUCCACUACAAGUAACUUAGCUAAUGGAUUUCAAUCUUUGGUCAAAGGUGUCAAGAAAAUUUAUCUCAUCUCCGCUUUGCCUUUACCUUUAAUAUCAGUUGUAUAUGCUUCAGAAUACCCUUAUAACUUGAUUUCCAUUAGUAAAUUUUCUAAGAAAUUUAAUUGUCCAAUCAAUUUUUAUUUCCACUCUGUUUUAACAACCCUCUAACAAGUAUAUGUUUUUCAUUCAAACACUCUAUUAUAUUAUGGAUUAUGAACACAUCAAAUUUGAUGAAUUAUGCCAAGAGAAGAGAAGGGUUACUUUCUGAAUCAAAAUUUUCAUCACUAUUGUUAAUUUUAACGAUUUAAAUACAAGCAGUUUGAACUAUAAGAAUAAAUGGUUUUAAACAAACAACUGUAUCACUUUCAAGUAUCCAUGUAAUUCUAAUAUGAUCAUCAACAAUGGUUAAGAAUAAUUUAUGACAUUUAUAGGUAGAUAUACGAUAUGGACCCCACAAGUCAACAUGAAUAAGAGAAAAAACAAUGUCACAACAUGAUUAGCCAAUUGGAAAAUGUAGUGAAGAUUAAAUAACAAGAGGACAAACAAAAUAUUAAACAACAUGAUUUUGGCUUUGCCUCCUAACAUUUUCACUUUUGUUAUUUUGACCCUAUUUUUUUUUCACUUUGGCCCUCAAAUUUUAAAUUUUAGUCAAAUUACUUUCUUUUUAAAAGAAAAAAUUUAUAGUACUAUUAAAAUUUUAUUGGCAUUGGCAUGACAACUCACUCGACAAUUGAUAUAUACUUCAUAAAAAAUACAAAAUUAUUAAAAUAUUCAAAAAGACUUCAUAAUUUUUAUUUUAAAAAUUCAAAAAAGUAUGAAGUUUUCACUAAACUUUAAGAUAAAAAUAAUAAUUUGACUAAAAUUUUGUUGAGGAUAAAGGUGGUUUUGCCAAAAUGGGUAAAAUUAAAGUAAAAAAAUAGAUAAAUGUUGAGGGCUAAAUUUAUUAUUAUGCUAAUAAUUUUUAUUCAAAAUUUUAUUUUGGAAAAGAGACAUUUAGUUCAUUUUUGACAAUGAUGCAUGUCUACAUCCAUUAUGCGAAAGAGAUUAUUCUAAUUUAUAUAUAUAUAUAUAUAAAAACCACAAUGAAAGAUACAGAAGCUAACUUAGUAUAUGAAUGAAUUUGAUAUGGCAGACCUUAUUCUUUAUCAGGAUAAAAUGAAAGAAAGCAAUUUAGAUCUAGGGUGCAUUUCGAAAUGGAAAGCAAAUCUUAAUGAAAAUCUGGUGUGUAGAGAAUGCUGGUUAGAUUAUCAUCAAUUGGAAGAGUAUAUGAGCCAAUACGUGUAACGGGGAUUGCUUCACCAUUAGACAAUUGGACAAAACUUGAUUAAGAAGAGCAAGAAAUUGAAGAUUUUGAACAUUGCAAGUCAGAUAUCAUAUGAUUAGUAGCCCGUGUGUUCAAGAUCCAUUCUAAGGAUGAUAUUUUGAUAGAGGUGAAUCUAGAAACCAUACCUGUCAUAUUGCAGUUGCAUCAACAGAUAUUCCCUUAUUAAGUAAUCCCAGAAUUUGUUGAUACUAUGCUUGAGUAAAGACUAAAGCCUGUUGAGAUGUCAAAGCGUCAUUUCCAUCUAAAGAUUCCAAGGCAAUAACAUGAUUUGCUGAGGAUGAUAAACUUAGAUUCCUUUUCUCUGUAAAUUUGAAAUCUGAUGGGUAUCCAAUCAGUCAGCAACAAUUCUCUUUCUUGUGCACUUUAACUUUGCCGUCUUUAAAUAUACCAUUGAACUUUUUUUUUAUUUGUUGAGCAUUCGAAGAUUACAAGGCAGUAGGCGCAAACAUUGCUUUGGAA
rnacentral:lncRNA from 1 species